GACGAACGCUGGCGGCGUGCUUAACACAUGCAAGUCGAACGGAAAGGCCUGCUUUCCCUUGUGGAUUGCGGGUACUCGAGUGGCGAACGGGUGAGUAACACGUGAGUGAUCUGCCCCCAACUUGGGUAUAAGCCUGGGAAACUGGGUCUAAUUCCCGAUAGGACUGCAGGGUGGUGCCUGUGGUGGAAAACGAUUUUCUAGUGGUUGGGACUAGCCCGCGGGCUAUUCGGUUGGUUGUGGGGUAAUGGCCCACCAAGGCGGCGACGGGUAGCCGGGCUGAGAGGGUGGACGGCCACAUUGGGACUGAGAUACGGCCCAGACUCCUACGGGAGGCAGCAGUGGGGGAUAUUGCACAAUGGGCGGAAGCCUGAUGCAGCGACGCCGCGUGGGGGAUGACGGCCUUCGGGUUGUAAACUCCUUUCGACCGCGAGGAAGCCACCUGGUUGGAAGGGUGGUGACGGUAGUGGUAGAAGAAGCACCGGCUAACUACGUG
rnacentral:rRNA from 1 species